rnacentral:rRNA from 1 species
UACAGAGGGGGCAAGCGUUGUUCGGAAUUACUGGGCGUAAAGGGCGCGUAGGCGGCCUGUUAAGUCGAACGUGAAAUCCCCGGGCUCAACCCGGGAACUGCGUCCGAUACUGGCAGGCUUGAAUUCGGGAGAGGGAUGUGGAAUUCCAGGUGUAGCGGUGAAAUGCGCAGAUAUCAGGAGGAACACCGGUGGCGAAGGCGGAUCUCUGGGCCUUACCUGACGCUGAGGCGCGAAAGCGUGGGGAGCGAACAGG